rnacentral:rRNA from 1 species
GACGAACGCUGGCGGCGUGCUUAACACAUGCAAGUCGAACGGAAAGGCCCUGCUUUUGUGGGGUGCUCGAGUGGCGAACGGGUGAGUAACACGUGAGUAACCUGCCCUUGACUUUGGGAUAACUUCAGGAAACUGGGGCUAAUACCGGAUAGGAGCUCCUGCUGCAUGGUGGGGGUUGGAAAGUUUCGGCGGUUGGGGAUGGACUCGCGGCUUAUCAGCUUGUUGGGGGGGGAGUGGCUUACCAAGGCUUUGACGGGUAGCCGGCCUGAGAGGGUGACCGGGAACCUUGGGACUAAGAUACGGCGCAGCCGCCAACGGGAGGCAGCGGGGGGGAGUAUGGCACAAUGGGCGGGAGGCUGAUGAAGAAACCCCGCGUGCGGGAAGAGGGCUUACGGGUUAUAAACCGCUGUCGCCUGUGACGAAGCGUGAGUGACGGUAAUGGGAAAAAAAGCACCGGCUAACUACGUG